AAUGAAGAUAAUAUAUAGGAUAAAGUGGAAGAUAAUAUUUCAACAGAUAUCACAGAAAUAUAGUAGAAAUAUAGUACGAUGAUUAUGAUAAUAUGGACAUGAUACAAUGGCUGAAUGGAUUUAAUAUGAUUCUUUUAAUUAAUCGUGACGCUAGGUUUAUCUCUGCAUCGAAUAAUCAAUUGGAACGUGGAUAUAAGGAUGCUGAGGGUACUCGAUAAUCGAGUGACUUUCGCGACUUCGAGUGAUUUCACUCAACGUUCAACGAACAGCUCGAAGCCGAAUACCAGGAAUAGUAAGAAAUUUCUUCUACACAGAAAGGAGAAGCAAGCUUACCCUUCGUACAAUAAAUAGAAGGAGCUACAUACGUUUUUAAUCGCGAAGAUCGCGGUAAACUUACGAAAUUUGGAAACGUCAAGGGUAUCGUAAGGUUUCUGUGAAUCCUUUUUAUGGAUUCCCGUGAGUCUCGAUUUACUGCCGCUUUUCGUAUUUCUUGUGCGUAUUAAAGGA
rnacentral:misc_RNA from 1 species